rnacentral:rRNA from 1 species
UACGUAGGGGGCAAGCGUUGUUCGGAAUUACUGGGCGUAAAGCGUGCGUAGGUGGUUCGGUAAGUCAGAUGUGAAAGCCCUGGGCUUAACCUGGGAAUUGCGUUUGAUACUGCUUGACUAGAGUUUGGUAGAGGGAAGUGGAAUUCCACGUGUAGCGGUGAAAUGCGUAGAUAUGUGGAGGAACACCAGUGGCGAAGGCGGCUUCCUGGACUAAAACUGACACUGAGGCACGAAAGCGUGGGGAGCAAACAGG